CUGCCACCACGUAAGAUGUGCCUUUUACCUUCCGCCAUGACUGUGAGGCCUCCCCAGCUAUAUGGAACUGUGAGUCUCUUUUUCUUUAUACAUUACCCAGUCUCAGGUAUGUCUUUAUUAUCAGGGUGAAAAUGGACUGAUACAGUAGGUGACAUGUGUCCAGCCUGCUUGGUUCCCAACUUUGCUGGAUCCAUUCUAUCUGUGGACGGAGCCACUAUCUCUGAAAGGAGAGAUCUCAUCCGCUGUCCACUGGGGAAUGGCCUUGCCCUAUGGCCCCUACCAAACAAAAACGUAGCAGAACACAGCAAAACAGCAGAGUCGGAAUGUGAAGUGCUGAUAGAGUUCCCUAACGCUGACUGUCUGCUCUGCAUUUCUGGAGAUUGUAUGCCUGUCAUCCUGCAUUCCUUGCUACAGCCACAAGCUGUCUCCACCAUCAGAUGUGGCUUACCUGGUUCCUGAGUCAAUUCCAUCCAGGUAGGAGGAAUCCUAUCAGAAAGUAUGUGAGUGCGUUUGCAGAGUGCAUUCCUGUGGAGCCCCCUUAUCUCUGGCUGCAUCUGCUUCUGCAGGGAGAAAGUAUCCCUGCUGUGAGAGGUCUGGGAUCUGGAGUACAGAGGAUGGUGAAGCCAAGGCCUGAAGACCUUUCCUGCAAGGUCGCAGAGGAAGAGGCAGAAGAAGGACCAGAACCCAGCUCCCCUGACUCCCUAUCCAGUGCUCUUCUCAUAGAUUACAUUGCUUCAGCAUCCACCUGGCUAUUGCUCCAUCCAGGGGUUACAGGAGUCACUGACUGUUUUGGUUGCUUCUUGGUUGGAGGAUGUUGUGCCUCACCGAUGAGAGCCGGAAGCAAAGGUACCAGUUCUUAGAGGAAGCAUAGGAAUGUGUCCCUUCCUGCUCGGGUCUCUCAACUGAACUCAACCCUUCCUUGAUUGAUUGACAAGCAUGUUAUCUCUCAUAAUCCCUGCCCGGUAAGGGCUGAUGUCCCCAUUUUACAGAUGAGGAUAUUGGAGCUCAGAGAAGUGAAAUGAUUGCUGAAGGUCACACAGCCUGGCUUCAAGCCUCUCGGGCUCCAAAAGGCAUCUUCUGUUCUCUCCGUCAGGAAGCCUCUUUUGGAUGAUUAACUGAGAUUAAAAAUGAAAAGACACAUGAAAGAAA
ensembl:lncRNA novel transcript